rnacentral:lncRNA from 1 species
AUCAGUAGCUAGGCUUAGCAUAGUAGCAUAAGAAACACACAAACCCCAUUUGUUUUCUGUUGGCAAAGGACUCAAACUGUGGCAAUGGGACCCAAAUUAACAGUAGGUUCCAUUGCCUUCAUGGCCUCAAACCUUGGUUCCUUGGCCUGGAACUUCAAACCGGCAUAAAGCUUCAUGUAGUCCUCAAACACGAAUUUCGGGUACACUUCGCUUGUCUCCUUUUCUUUCUCCACCAAUGCUGGUGCUGGGUAGAUGACUGCAUCACUGCCUGGGUUGUAGAAUGAUGCUAAUGACAUUCUGUUUCCAUCAGUUUGGGCGAUCACCCGGUGCAUCACGCUCUUGUACUUGCCAUUGGUGAUCACCUACAUACGAGAAAAACAUGGGAAAAUCAUGAAAUUGCCGUCAGUAUCCCUGAUUGAAACAGAAACAAGUGAUUGAAACUUGGGUCUUCUGGGCAUAUACCUCAAGCUGAUCACCUAGGUUGAUGACAAUGGAGUGUCGCAUCGGUGGAACAUCAAUCCACUGGCCAUCCUUGAGGAGCUGAAGCCCACUGACCUUGUCGUCUUGGAAGAGUAGGAUGAUGCCACCAGCAUCAGUGUGUGCUCUCAGACCCUUGAUCAGCUCUGGCU